rnacentral:snRNA from 1 species
UAUGACAGAAUCGAGAUGCGUU